UCUAGAUUUGGGGGAGGGGUAUUUGGGACAAGACCCAUCUGUAGUAGUCUUAGAAAGAAUAUAUAAUCACUGCAUCAUAUCGUAAAAUAGAAGCCCGUUGACUGUGCUGCAGUCACAAAAUGACAGGUGUAGACAGACUGAGAAAGGAAAUUGUUCUAGGUCAGAGGUUUUCAAACAAGACACCACAUCCCCCAAACCUCAGGGGUGGCGUAGGGUGAGCAGGGUGGGGGUCCCCAAGAGAGAGGGGAGGGGACGGUUCGUCCAUCAUCGCAGGACACUGUCAUGACCCAGAUCCCACCCGCAGAGCAGCUCUGCGUAUGUUCUCUCUGUGGCUUUGGGUUGCCUGGUAAGAUUUAUUUGAACAGAAUGUUCUGUGGCUGAAAAAGUCUGAAAACCUCUAGUUGCCUCAAGUUUCUAUAUUUAGCCUGGAAACCUUCCAGACUGGGAGAUUUUUUUCCCCCUCAAAUUCCCUUUAAAUCCUCUAGUUUUAUGUUUAAUAAAUGUGCCUUAAUGAUAUCUGAUAUGUGAUGGGUAUGUAAUCAACAGGCAAUAAUACCACAGGCAUGGUAAGUGACCAAAUCUUAUAGAUUGUGCAAGAGUGCUCGAGACUAAAAGACCUAGAACUAUUCUGCAGAAGAUGCGAUGGGAGGUGGGAGGGGGGAAAUAAUUUAGGUAGGAGGAUAUCAAAAGCAACAACAAAAAUGUAAGCAGUUGGACAAUCUGACAUGAAUUCCACAUGGUAUCAUUUGAUGUUUCAUUUAAUAUUUGCUGAGUUCUCAGAAUUGCUAGAUUAUCUCUUAUAUCUAAUUCUCUUUGGCAGCUUAAACCAACAGAUUUUACAUCUAAACUCUUAAUAUUCACAGACCACUACUGUGAUGGUUUUUCUCACAAUAUCUGCAGGCUACCUGUACUAGUAAAUACUUUGUUUAAAUAGAUUCAUCUUGAAUUUAAAUAAAUUUAUUUUAAAAGAAAAGUUUGGGGGGCUUUGGUGGUUUGUUUUUGCCACAACCAGGACAGACGAAGUUCCCGGGCCAGGGAUAAAAUCUGAGCCACAACUGCGACCUACACCACAGCUAUGGCAUUGCUGGAUCCUUAACCCACUAUGCUGGGCAAUGGAUCAAACACAGUACCCUAAGCUGCUGCAGAGACAACGCAGUAUCCUUAACCUGCUGCACCACAGCGGGAACUCCUAAAAGUUUAUAUCGCUACCCGCAAAUAGAAGAUCAGAAACAUUUGCCAAAAACAGCAAGUAACUGGAACUGUAAAUUCAUAAUGAUGAAAAGAGUAAACACUUUUCUCUUUUACCUCCACAGAGCCCUUUUGGUUCUACCAGGGGUAUGACAUCACAGUCUGGGAAACACGUUUUAACCCAUUUUACUAUCGUACUCAGCCAAGAAAUUUUAAGCUAAGUGUAGCUCGUCUUUGUUCCCUCCCACCUCUUCUUACAGCCCCUCUGGUACCCACACACCCACAUCCCGACUGUCUUCUAAGCGCCUGCCUUGCUCUAAGCUAGCUGAGAACUAAUAGUUGCUAAUUAUUUAUCUUAUAAUUCUCCUAUUUUUGCACACUAUAACAGACUUCAUUUUCCAAAAUUCAAAUACAGAAGUCUACUGGAAUUUUAGACAUAAUGCAAGAAAACUGUAUCAUUUAAUUCAAGUCGCAUCUAUUAACCACCUGCUCAUAAACCAGCCCUCAUGCCCCACCCCAUAGGUUCUUAUUUAGAUUUCCCCAAAACAUGGAAAUUUGCCUAAGAUGUAUUAUAGUCUUUAGGACUUGACAGAUAUGGUCUUCUCAAACCGGAAUUGUAUUCGAGGAAAAGAAAUAUGGGUCAAUCACCUCAUUAGCAUAUACCUUAUUAUAAUCCCACCCAUAGCCAUAGUCUCCACCCCCACUUAGGAAAGAGGGAGGAGAAGCUGGUACAAGCACUGCGAACUGGGUUUCUAUCACUGAUGAUGACUAUCCUUGCAUUUUCUCCCUCUCACAUUCUAGAAUUCUUCCUCCUCUUGCUGCUCCUCGGGAAUUCCUCCUCCCACAGGACUCUGGGAGAGCUGCCUCAGACUGAGUUGCUGGGAAGCGGACUCUGAGAGGAGACUGUGGGCAGGAGCUGUGUUGGAGAAUGGACUGGGAGCCACCCCUGUGAGUGCCUGAGGGCGGCGAGGCUGGGCAGGACGAGAGGUUGAGCUGGGCUACAGUCACAGCAGAGGCCUUGGCCAGCCCCACAGGAGAUGGGCUGGCCCUUCAGAGCUGGCCCAACUGUGGCAAGAGGGCCGGGCCUCUGUACCCACCCCCUCACAUUGGCCAGUCAUUGGACACUCUAUGACCCAGGGGAGGGGUGAUAAUCUUGGGCAAGGCAGCCCUCUUUGGCCAAAGGCAAUUCUUGGGCAGGGAUCAAGCUGUCUGCCACCAGCAGGGAGAGCUCCUGGAAGCAGGGGAGGAAAUCCUGGAAGAAGAUGUGGGCCAGACAGCCCACCGCACGAAUAAACCCACUAGUGCCUUGCUCCCAGUGCCUCCCAGGUGGUGGCAACAUGGAGAAACCAUGGGGCCUGAUUUCCAGGCAGUUCCUCGGAGCGAUGAACCAGAGACCGGGUGGCUGAACGAGAAGGGAAAAGUUUAGGGGAGCUGGCACUUCCAGUGUCAAGCCCGAGAAGCCAGCGUGAAGAGGAGCCGCCCAGACCUUAAAUUUCCUCCUUGGUCUGCCUUCUCACCCAGAAGUCCGACCACACAGAUCCAGGAUUGCUUACUGGUUUUGUAUUAUCUGUGGAUCUGUGCCCCUCGAGUCCCCUUAAAAUGUCAGCAAAUCCCACAGAGACAAUCUGAAGCGAGACAAGGGUUAAGAAGAGUCUUCAUGAAGUGUUCCUUUUAGAAAUUCUGGCCAGCUUAACCCACAGGGAGCUCACCGAGCCUGGGCUCUUCUGAGUCUUCUGCGAAAAUGUUUUACCCAAACAGACUCUUCCCAUUAAACGGGAUCAAACCAAGUGGUCGUUUGCCAGUGUGCUGCCUACAUCGUUGACACCUUCCCUCUGAGCUGUGUGACACCAGCCCCUCCCUCCAGCGAGCAGGGCAGGAAAAAAGCUACAAAGCACUGACCGAAUGAAUCCUGCUGGGCAAGCGCCAGGCAACCAAGAGCACUGCAUUUUGGAUGCAAGGCUCUAGUUGGUGGGUGAGAACCCUGGAACCAGAAGUAGGCUGGGAAUGCAUGGAUAUUGGGAACUUCACCAGGAAUUCCUCAAGACUUUCUACACCAUGUAAGAGAUAUAUUUUAUGUGUGAUCCCGUACACAUACAGCUGCAAGUGGACACAGAUACUAACAUACAACAGAAACCAGCUCCUAGAACUCACCCUGCUAACUCUGCUUGCCAAGGAAUAUCCAUUUAAAAACCAUUUCUUGAAUGAACCAAGCAAAACCAAACCCUAGUGAGACAAUACAUUCACCAGGUGCAAUGCACUCUGAUAUUUUCUAUUCUAUUUCUAUUCUUCAUUUCUUAAAAAAGGUAACAAUUUGCAACCCACUAAAGUAAUGUUGCCACGGCUAAUAGAGGCCCCUGUUUUGGAAGGACCGUUAUGCACUGCCUGCCCCCUCUCUGAAGAUUACAGAAACUUGUCAUGUGGGAAGCCGGGGACUGGGGGCAUUGGAGGCAAGCAGGAUGACACUGGGAUAUAACCGGGUGGGGAGAGGAAGCCUGUUGGGUGAAGCCAUGGGGGAGCCACACUGCUGGCUAAGGGCCAAGGCGCUGCUCUCUGGCUGAGGGCUAUGUUCCAUCUCCCCUCUUCCAGUCCACACACUGCCACUGUCCCCACACAGGAAACUGUCUUCACACCCAGGAAGAGUUUGCAAAUGGAGUCAGGCUGGCAAUUGCUCCACUUAGGUAUCACUCGAAGGACCAGGAGUGGGGAAAUGAGGGUUGUUUAAGCUGCUGUGAAAAUCAUGGAGUAACCUGGUAAAUGAAAAAUCCACUCUGACCCACAAGAAGCACUAAAGUGAGGAAUUAAACAACUUUGUAAAUAAAGGGAUCAUUACUCUUGAAGCAUUAAUACACGCAUAAGACCUAUUGAAAACAUCCCAUUUCAAGAUAAAUGAAGAGCAUUAGCUGCUCAUUUCCCAACCUGGAUGGGCUGUUUUCACAGCCCAGCACUGGGGGUCUGAGGCCUGGGUCAGCAGGGGCUGGCUCAGGUGGCUUGCUAGUGGGGCUGCACAGGGACUCAGGAGGGGACCGUUUCUGCAUUUCUGCUACAGUGAAGGUUGUAAUCACAGCCCUGCUUUUCACUAAGGGGAGGUGCCCACUGCACACCUGAUGAAGUCGGGAGGAAAGUUCUAGACCAGUGCAUUUGCCUCCUCCAAGUUUCAUCAUCAUUCACCAAAUAAGCAUAAUUGCUCCGUGUUUAAGAGGUGCUGGGAACAGGGGCGCUGCCUGUAAUUGCCUAAUGGGCGGGCGAAAUGAGGUGUGAGGCACAUUGGUGUGAAAAAAGCAAUAGCCACAAGUUUAUUAACAUUGAAAAUUAAAAUAAGCUCAGCCCCAGCCAGGCAGUCCUUGCUGAAAUGAAUCCCAUUAUCCCUCUAAUAACUGCACAGGGCUCAAUUGGAUGCCCCCCAGGAGGUAGAGAGGCCUCAAUACGGGUCACCUCUCUGCCAGCUUCGGGAGUAGCAGAGGCUCUGGUUCACAGAUGACUAUCACAGAGGAAACACAAACAGCCCUGCCUCCCCUGCAGCUCCUCCAGCUCCACUUAAAUCCACGGGCAGGUGCUUGGGGAGCUGUGAAGGGGGAGCCUGGAGAGAAUUACAUGCAAUUCUGACCUGGGUGCCUUUUUGAAUAGUUGCUGAUUGGAAUUUUCAAAAGCAAGCUAUAAGGUUCUGGAACUGACUGUCACCAGGUCCAUGUGAAGGAGGUCAGGAGCCCUGACUGGGGCUCAGCAACCAGCCCUGCCUUCUUUUUUGCACCUUGAUCAUGUUAUCAAAUAUUUCUAGAUGCCCAGGGCUAGGAGGAGAGUUGCCCUUGACCUUGAGCAGAUUCAAUCAAUGUAGGAAACAAGGCUCUCCUGGGGAGAAUAAUCAGAAAGCAAUCAGUGAAUGCUGCAGCCCAGAGCCUAAUGAAAAUGCAUCCAGGUGGGGGUGCUGCCCAGGUAAAGGAAAGGCAGAGGGAACCGCAUGAACAGAAUCUUACAGAUGCGAGGCACUUGGAAGAAAGGAAGGAGGCCAACCAGGCGGAAGGCAAGCUCGGAGCUGGUAGAACUGGGUGGGUGGAGAGAGGGGCACAGGGAAAGCCUGGAGCCUGGAGUCCGGAUUGUAAUGCUGGAUUUAAAGGGAAUCCUUGUAGUUUUCCGAAAAGAGGAAUCAUGGGAUUCAAGAAUUUAAAUCACUCCAUGUUAAAUUCACUUUAUGUUUUAAAAAAUAUAUUCGGAUUUUAAAUUUU